GAUCAUGGCUCAGGACGAACGCUGGCGGCGUGCCUAACACAUGCAAGUCGAACGGAGUGUUGCGCUGAAAUUGAGAUUAGCUUGCUAAAGGAUAUUUCUUGUAACAUUUAGUGGCGGACGGGUGAGUAACGCGUGAGGAACCUGCCUUACAGAGGGGGACAACAGUUGGAAACGACUGCUAAUACCGCAUGAUGUGGAGGGGAGACAUCUCCCUUUCACCAAAGGAGCAAUCCG
rnacentral:rRNA from 1 species